UACGAAGGGGGCUAGCGUUGUUCGGAAUUACUGGGCGUAAAGCGCACGUAGGCGGAUCGAUCAGUCAGGGGUGAAAUCCCAGAGCUCAACUCUGGAACUGCCUUUGAUACUGUCGAUCUAGAGUAUGGAAGAGGUGAGUGGAAUUCCGAGUGUAGAGGUGAAAUUCGUAGAUACUUCGGAGGAACACCAGUGGCGAAGGCGGCUCUCUGGGACGGUACUGACGCUGAGACGCGAAAGCGUGGGGAGCAAACAGGG
rnacentral:rRNA from 1 species